rnacentral:lncRNA from 10 species
GUAUAAAAGCCUGCCGUUGGUGGAAAAGGAAAAGGUGGUCCAGUUAGACAAGAUGCCACCGGCUUCUGAAACCAGACAUCUUUGAAAACCCACCCAUCUACCUGCAGGAAAAGAGACAGGGUUUCACUAUGUUGGCCAGGAUGUUCAACAACUUCUGCCUUCAAGCGAUCUUCCCUCCUGGGCCUCCCCAAGUGCUGAGUUUACAAGCAUCAGCCACCACACCCAGCCUAUGACAUUUUCUUCAUUAUGGCUGGUACUGCCUCAUGAAAAGGGGGUUCCUCAUGCUGGAUCUGAACAACCCAGCACAGGCAAGUCUGGGGAGCAAGGCAGGAGCCUGCAUGUGGACUCAAAGGACCGGCACCCGAAACAAAGCAGUGGCUGGCACAGGUGGACAAACCAGGCAAGAAAAGCAACUGUCCUUCGGAGCAGAGUCCACGUGAUGGGAAGAAACAGGUCAUGAUACUUUUGAGUGGU